rnacentral:lncRNA from 1 species
UAGAGAAGUCAAUUAUGUUGCUUGCAGUUUUUGUCUAUCACUUGGCACAUUAACUAGUAGAAAUAGCAAGGUUAUUUACAGUGAAGAAUUUUUUCUUAUAUAACAGCAAAGAACGAGUUUACACUUGUCUGAUAAGAGAACUUUCCACCAAAAUCAUACAUUUCAAAAGCAGCAAUUAUGUUGCAUGGCAAAAUCAUGUUGCGUUCUCAACAAUCGAGCUUGUCAGGAUCUUUCAAUAUUCAAUAUAACUAAGAGAAAAGUUACAAAAAGAAAACUAGAAAUGGAUGAAUUUUCUGUCAGUGUGGAGGAUGAGGUUGAAGAAGACAUUGCUGUUGCAUUAUUUGCCACAGUUUUGUUAUUGCUGCAUAAACACAGUGGAAGAAAAACUAAAUGUCAUAUUUCGAGUCCAUAAGCAGUAAUAAUAUAUAUAAAUUAUGUCAGCUAAAAUGAAAGGAACAAACAAAAUAUCAUGUUGUGUAUUGAACUUACCCAGCUCUCAUGUAN